UCCACCUCCACUGCUACUAGGACCUCCACCUCCUCCACCUCCACUGCUACCAGGACCUCCACCUCCUCCACCUCCACUGCUACUAGGACCUCCACCUCCUCCACCGUCAGCAGCAGCUCUGUCUCUGUCUCGGCUUUGAUGCAGGAUCCCAGAGCUGCAUCCCAGCCCCUCUCUCACUCCUCCCUCCUCCUCCACCUCCUGUUACCUCCUCCCUGCCACGGGGGCAAAAUGGAGAAACAGCAGGGCCAGAGGAGCCCACUGAUGAGGAGAUGCUGGAGGCCUCACAGGAGCCUCAUGCUCCUGUGGCCCAGGCUACACCUCUGGUGGCCCCACGGGUCCAGGCUGCCCUAUGGGUCCAGGCUGCCCCAGCGGUCCAGGCUCCACCACCACCACCACCUGCACUGACGGAGCAGAUGGCUGCCCCACCACCUCCUCCACCUGCUGGCAGUGCUGAGCUGCUCCCUGACUCCUGGAGAGCAGCUCUCACUGCAGAGCAGCAGCAGUGGAUCGGCCGGGUGCUGUUUUCCAGGGACAGCUCGGGGAGGCCACGGCUCAUCGGAGACCUGAACCUCUGGUGGUACCCUCCCCAGACCCGGCCGGUCUACAGUCAGCCUCCCGCGUCCCCCGACCCCUUCUUCGCAUGUCGGCUGUUCCUGUGGAUGCCACACAGGAUCUGGCGUCUGCAGCUGACAUGCCCCCAGCCUUCAUGCACAGGGUCCAUGAUGAAGGCUGGGCUGUACAGGACCAUCCGGAGGGUCCUGGACAUCGACGGCUGGUAUCUCAUGGCCACUGAGUACCUAGAGUGCCGUCGAUGUAAGAAGAAGGUCAGAGGCUGGUCACAGGGCAUCAUCAGGCAGCUGCC
ensembl:lncRNA